rnacentral:rRNA from 1 species
GCUAGCGGCAGGCCUAAUACAUGCAAGUCGAGGGGCAGCACGAGUACUUGUACUUGGUGGCGACCGGCGCACGGGUGCGUAACGCGUAUGCAACCUACCUUAUACAGAGGGAUAGCCCAGAGAAAUUUGGAUUAAUACCCCAUAGUAUCAUUUGAAGGCAUCUGAAGAUGAUUAAAGAUUUAUCGGUAUAAGAUGGGCAUGCGUAAGAUUAGUUAGUUGGUGAGGUAAUGGCUCACCAAGACUUCGAUCUUUAGGGGUUCUGAGAGGAUGAUCCCCCACACUGGUACUGAGAUACGGACCAGACUUCUACGGGAGGCAGCAGUAGGGAAUAUUGGUCAAUGGGCGAGAGCCUGAACCAGCCAUGCCGCGUGCAGGAAGACGGCCUUCUGGGUUGUAAACUGCUUUUAUAUGGGAAGAAAACGGCCUUGCGAGGCUAAUUGACGGUACCAUAUGAAUAAGCACCGGCUAACUCCGUGCCAGCAGCCGCGGUAAUACGGAGGGUGCAAGCGUUGUCCGGAUUUAUUGGGUUUAAAGGGUACGUAGGCGGCCAAUUAAGUCAGUGGUGAAAGCCAGCAGCUCAACUGUUGAACUGCCAUUGAUACUGAUUGGCUCGAGUUCUGUUAAGGUAGGCGGAAUUGAUGGUGUAGCGGUGAAAUGCAUAGAUACCAUCAGGAACACCGAUUGCGAAGGCAGCUUACUAGGCAGAAACUGACGCUAAUGUACGAAAGCGUGGGGAUCGAACAGGAUUAGAUACCCUGGUAGUCCACGCCGUAAACGAUGCUCACUCGCUGUUGGCGAUACACAGUCAGCGGCCAAGCGAAAGCGUUAAGUGAGCCACCUGGGGAGUACGCUC